UAUGCAUACUUUAGUUUUGACCAAACAAAAUGUGAAGAAACCAUUUGAUUCCUGGAUAAUUUAUUGGGUGUUUAGUUUACCGGGGGGUUCGGGGUUGUUGGGGGGGCUUUUUAUUUUUUAUUUUUUAUCCUACUGCGUUCUCUCUACCAGGAGAGAGAACUCUCAACGCUCUUCUUCCCUCUUCUUCCCGGAGGCACACCCAGACAAGGAAGGACGGCGAAGCCGCGUUUUCCGUCCAACCCAAUGUGUCAAACCUCACCAUCACCCCUUCUCAUCAUUAUAAACAUACCAUCGUCCCCAACUUCCAAAAAGAAAAAUCAAACUGAGACGUUGAAUUGAAAGUGCUCCGACGCGGGAAGGAUUUUCCCAACAACGUUCUCGUCAAAUCCGGCCAAGGCAUAUUGUAUACAAGUACAUUUCGCGACAUCAUUUAAGUUACUCAAAAUUAUGUCACUUUAUCAAAAGAAAUUCUCACUUUACCAAAAUUGGGACACAAUGACGAAAUCAUGAGCAACAUUUAGUUCUUGAAUCUGGUGCUCUGACUGAUUCCUGCAUUGAUUCCGGUGGCCUCUCCACCAUACGGACCUAAGGGCUUCCUCACCUCUCUUACCUGUCCUCUUCUACUCUUCACUGCCUUCUGGUGCUUCAACUGCACACGCACAGAGAAAGAGAUGAGUUAGUAGAGCAAUCAUUUAAUAGCCUGCAACAUUGUGUGUUCGACUAUUUGAUCAAAAUACCUUGUACUUCUUUCUUGGAUUCUUGAUCAGCUUCUUACGAGCACGAGUAAAUGUAUGCUAAAAUGUACUUA